rnacentral:rRNA from 1 species
GAUGAACGCUGGCGGCGUGCCUAACACAUGCAAGUCGAGCGAGGGUUUGCUCAGUAUUGAGUAUUCUAAAACUAGAAUGUUCAAUUCUGAGCAAAACCAAGCGGCGGACGGGUGAGUAACGCGUGGGUAACCUGCCCUAUACACAUGGAUAACAUACUGAAAAGUUUACUAAUACAUGAUAAUAUAUAUUUGCGGCAUCGCAGAUAUAUCAAAGUGUUAGCGGUAUAGGAUGGACCCGCGUCUGAUUAGCUAGUUGGUGAGAUAACUGCCCACCAAGGCGACGAUCAGUAGCCGACCUGAGAGGGUGAUCGGCCACAUUGGAACUGAGACACGGUCCAAACUCCUACGGGAGGCAGCAGUGGGGAAUAUUGCACAAUGGGCGAAAGCCUGAUGCAGCAACGCCGCGUGAACGAUGAAGGUCUUCGGAUCGUAAAGUUCUGUUGCAGGGGAAGAUAAUGACGGUACCCUGUGAGGAAGCCCCGGCUAACUACGUGCCAGCAGCCGCGGUAAUACGUAGGGGGCUAGCGUUAUCCGGAUUUACUGGGCGUAAAGGGUGCGUAGGUGGUCCUUCAAGUCGGUGGUUAAAGGCUACGGCUCAACCGUAGUAAGCUGCCGAAACUGGAGGACUUGAGUGCAGGAGAGGAAAGUGGAAUUCCCAGUGUAGCGGUGAAAUGCGUAGAUAUUGGGAGGAACACCAGUAGCGAAGGCGGCUUUCUGGACUGCAACUGACACUGAGGCACGAAAGCGUGGGUAGCAAACAGG